AAAUCCUGUCCCCUGCCCGGUCUGUCUCUGAGCGUCUCCGUCUCGGAGGUUAUUGACGCUCUUGCGGGUACUGCACAGAGUCGAUGCCUGAGGCUGGACUCAGAGCAGGCAG
rnacentral:SRP_RNA from 11 species